UUUGCUCUUCAAAUUGAAUCUUCUCUUCAAACCUUCGCGAUCAACUCUUCAAGACUCUAUUCGACUUCACGAAAUCCGCCAACCUAGAAAAUCCUUAACAAUCUCUCCCUUUGGCGAUUUCGUGACAAAACAUAAUACAAUGCUCAAACACAACACAGAAACAAAAGAAGAUCAUCGCAAUCACCAAACGACAAUCUCCUGCAUGAUCGAUCCAAUAAAAGUCAAAUUACAUUUUUCUCACAAUCCUAAUACAAACUCUAUGACUUAGACAUGGAGUCUUGAAGUCUCGAAAGUUCCUGCAAAAAACAUUCUCAAAACAUAGUCAAGAUCCAAGAAUUUUCAUUAAAGAUCAAACAUAUACAGUCAUAUAGUCAAGAGUUACGUUAGAAAACCAUCAACACUUAAAUAAGCAUCAUCAUCAUCUAAAUACAUCACCAUCUCAAUACAUCAUCUAAAAAGCAUCAAAAUAUCUAAAAAGCAGCAUCUAAAAACAUGUAGCAGCAUCUAAAAGCAUCAUCAUCAUCUGCCACUUUUUGUCAAGAAAACGCCAAAAUGACAAAAAAGAGGAACCCUGCACCACUCAAUCCGAGUCGUCACUCUAC
rnacentral:lncRNA from 1 species